rnacentral:rRNA from 1 species
AACGAACGCUGGCGGCAGGCUUAACACAUGCAAGUCGAGCGCCCCGCCAGGGGAGCGGCAGACGGGUGAGUAACGCGUGGGAACGUACCUUUUGGUUCGGAACAACUCCGGGAAACUGGAGCUAAUACCGGAUAAGCCCUAACGGGGAAAGAUUUAUCGCCGAAAGAUCGGCCCGCGUCUGAUUAGCUAGUUGGUGAGGUAACGGCUCACCAAGGCGACGAUCAGUAGCUGGUCUGAGAGGAUGAUCAGCCACACUGGGACUGAGACACGGCCCAGACUCCUACGGGAGGAAGCAGUGGGGAAUAUUGGAAAAUGGGCGCAAGCCUGAUCAAGCCACGCCGCGUGAGUGAUGAAGGCCUUAGGGUUGUAAAGCUCUUUUGUCCGGGAAGAUAAUGACUGUACCGGAAGAAUAAGCCCCGGCUAACUUCGUG